rnacentral:rRNA from 1 species
CAAUAGCGUAUAUUAAAGUUGUUGCAGUUAAAAAGCUCGUAGUUGGAUUUCUGGUGGGAACUGCCGGUCCGCCGCCUUUGGUGGUGUGUACUAGUGUAGCUCUUGCCAUACUUGUGGAGAGCGUCGCGGGCAUUCAUUUGUCUGUGGCGGGAUCUGCAUCAUUUACUGUGAAAAAAUUAGAGUGUUUAAAGCAGGCAUUUGCCUUGAAUACAUUAGCAUGGAAUAAUAAGAUAGGACUUUGGCCUAUUUUGUUGGUUUGCAAGCCAGGGUAAUGAUUAAUAGGGAUAGUUGGGGGUAGUUCAUAUUUAAAUUGUCAGAGGUGAAAUUCUUGGAUUUAUGAAAGAAUGAACAACUGCGAAAGCAUUUACCAAGGAUGUUUUCAUUAAUCAAGAACGAAAGUUAGGGGAGUCGAAGACGAUCAGAUACCAU